UUUGUGUUGGCCUGCAUGUGCUGCAUAAUUUUGUCUACCUAACUAAGGAGGCAACAAAAUUUUUGUUAGUUCACUACAGUGCUCUUAAUAUUGACUAGUUGUGGACAAACGCAAGCUCCUGAUCUGCCCUUAAUUGGGUGUAUCAGCUGUAAGUUUGCGGACGUACCUUGAACAAAUCGGCUUGUUCAAAGUAGGCCUAGUGCCUGGACAUUCUAGCAUGGAAUGUUCGAUCGAGACCUGAUCGUUUGGUCGGAAACGAGUAAGGUCCAGGUCAAAAGAGACAUUUGGGGGCAUAAGAACUCGGCCGCGAGAGGUGAAAUUCUAAGACCGGCCGAGGUCUAACAAAAGCGAAAGCAUUUGCCAAGAAUGUUUUCAUUGAUCAAGAACGAAAGUUGGAGGAGCGAAAACGAUCAGAUACCGUUGUAGUUCCAACUUUAAACUAUGCCGGCUGUCGGGGCCAGUUCGGGUACAUCCGUACUAAUUGACCUCCCAGGGAAACCUUAGCAGGGUUCUGGGGGGAGUACGGUCGCAAGUCUGAAACUUAAAGGAAUUGACGGAAGGGCACCACCAGGAGUGGAGCCUGCGGCUUAAUUUGACUCAACGCGGGGAAACUUACCCGGUCCGGACAUCGGAAGGAUUGACAGACUGAUCGCUCUUUCAUGAUACGGUGAAAGGUGGUGCAUGGCCGUUCAUAGUUGGUGGAGCGAUUUGUCUGGUUAAUUCCGUUAACGAACGAGACUUCUUCCUUCAUUUAGUAGAUUUAAUUGGGGUUUAGAUCAACUAAUUGAAGGGACUAACGCUA
rnacentral:rRNA from 1 species